GGUGCUUACACAUGCAGUCAUGGGGCCAGCAAUGGGCAACCGGCGAACGGGUGCGUAACACGUGAGCAACCUACCGAACUGUGGGGGAUAGCCGGCCUAACGGCCGAGUAAUACCGCAUACGCUUUCAGUGAGGCAUUUCAUUGAAAGGAAACCUACGGGACAGAUCGAGGGGCUCGCGGCCUAUCAGCUAGUUGGCGAGGUAACGGCUCACCAAGGCAACGACGGGUAGCUGGUCUGAGAGGAUGGCCAGCCACAUUGGGACUGAGAUACGGCCCAGACUCCUACGGGAGGCAGUAGUGGGGAAUCUUGCGCAAUGGCCUAACGGCUGACGCAGCGACGCCGCGUGUGGGAUGAAGCUCUUCGGAGUGUAAACCACUGUUGCCCGGGACGAACAGCUCGAUUUCUCGAGCCUGACGGUACCGGGUGAGGAAGCACCGGCUAACUCCGUGCCAGCAGCCGCGGUAAUACGGGGGG
rnacentral:rRNA from 1 species